rnacentral:rRNA from 1 species
GAUGAACGCUGGCGGCGUGCCUAAUACAUGCAAGUCGAGCGAACAGACGAGGAGCUUGCUCCUCUGAUGUUAGCGGCGGACGGGUGAGUAACACGUGGAUAACCUACCUAUAAGACUGGGAUAACUUCGGGAAACCGUAGCUAAUACCGGAUAAUAUUUUGAACCGCAUGGUUCAAUAGUGAAAGACGGUUUUGCUGUCACUUAUAGAUGGAUCCGCGCUGCAUUAGCUAGUUGGUAAGGUAACGGCUUACCAAGGCAACGAUGCAUAGCCGACCUGAGAGGGUGAUCGGCCACACUGGAACUGAGACACGGUCCAGACUCCUACGGGAGGCAGCAGUAGGGAAUCUUCCGCAAUGGGCGAAAGCCUGACGGAGCAACGCCGCGUGAGUGAUGAAGGUCUUCGGAUCGUAAAACUCUGUUAUUAGGGAAGAACAUAUGUGUAAGUAACUGUGCACAUCUUGACGGUACCUAAUCAGAAAGCCACGGCUAACUACGUG